rnacentral:lncRNA from 1 species
GCUUACAUUUUUUUUUUAAUGAAAUAAGUCAGCCUCUAGGUAUUGCUUUUACAGGUUUAUGGAAAUUCAAGGAUCUACACCAUUCACACUUUACACACCACUCACACUUCCAAAAAUAGAUUUCUAGCCAGACACAGCAUGGCCUUCCCCAGUGCAGUAUCUCAGUUCUGUCAACCUGGAGAAGUUAAACCCUGUCCUGGGCCCUGGCAUAGCCCUCCAGAGUGACACCCUGAAACUAUGAUCAACAGUCUUGGGUCUGAAGUCUUCCCAGGCUUAAGGUCAACCAGCAUCAAACAAUGCUGACGGGAAAAGCCUAAGCAUGAGUCCGUUUGCCACCUCAGCUCUCCGUGUCCUUCCCGGAGGUUGAGUGGGGGAGGCAGGUGCGGCUGUGGGUGACGUCUGGUUGGGUUCCUGUAAACAUCCAUCACAAAGGUGGCAAGUCACAAGCCAGGUCCAGAGCAGCGGAGAGCUGGGUGGCAGGCGAGGCGUUCGGAGGAUCUGGCAACUCCCCAUCUCGGCACUGAGUCCUCACUUCUCCUGGCAGACGCCUGGGUUGGGGCAGGAACCUGGUUGUUGGCACGAGCAGGCCUAACCAAGAAGACAAAGGACAGUCAUCAGCAGGGCCAGGGCACCUCUGCAGGGCCGUCUCCCUACAGUUCAGGCGGGGGCAGGGAAGCCUUGCUCUCCUCCUCAUGUUCUAGACUCUCCGGAGUCCCUUGCUCAGGAUGGGGCUCCUUCCUCCCUCUUUUAAAAAUAAUUUCUUAAUUUCCUAAAGCUUAUUUUUAUGUGCACUUGUGUUUUGUCUGCAGGUAUGCUUGUGUGAGGGUGUCAGAUCUUGUAGGUACAGACAGAUGUUGAGUUGCUGUUGGGUUGCUGGGAAUUAAACCCAGGAAGAGCAGUCAGUACCCUCGGCUGUGGAGCCGUCUUUCCGGCCCCUUAAAAGUGAUUUUAAUUCUUUGACAAGUUCACAUGUGUAUAUACUGUAGCAGGACAUUUCCCCUCGUUUCUCUUUCAUACUGGCUUUCCUCUCUCCUCUUGCUUUCCACUUUACCGCCUCUUUCAUGAUGACUGAGUUUAACUGGGGUUGCCCGCAUGACCAUGGUUGAGGAAUUAUUUGAGGGAACACAGGAAACUGACUAGAAGCUACACACGAUGGAGAAAAUAACUCCCACUCUGCCAGCAGCCAUUAACCAUUAACCACCAAGAGCACCUUAGCACAAGGUCCUCUUGAGCCUCCUCUCCCACCCUAUUUCUGUCAUUUCCUGCUGACUUUUUGUUUUUGAGGCAGGGUCUCAGGUUGGUAGCCCAGGAUAGCCUUCAACUUCUGAUUCGUCUGCCUCCACCUUCCAAGUGCUGGGCAAUUAGGCACUGCUGGAAAUGGAACUUGGAACUCAGGGUCGGGUGGAAUACAUGCUGAGGAAACCUUCUACCCACUGAGCUGCGUGCCCAGC